rnacentral:tRNA from 1 species
AGAAGUUUAGGUUAUACUAGACCAAGGACCUUCAAAGUCCUAAGAAAGCAAUCAUUACUUAACUUCUG